CACACUAAGAAAGACGGGACCUGGAUGGUGUGUUGGUAGUUGUGCAAUCAACAAGAUCAUCGCCAAGUAUAGAUUUUCCAUACUUCAUCUUGGUGAUAUGUUAAAUUUUAUGGCAGGAUUCACGCACUCUUUGAACAUAUAUUUGAAGAGCAGUGUUAGAAGCCUUAGACAUGACUCUGAUAUGUGAAAAAGUAAUGAAGCAGAAGAAGAAGAAGAUAGAGAAGAGGAAGAAGGUUGAAGAGAGGCAAACAAAGGUAUUUUAUGGAUUCUUUAUUUCGAUGAUUACAGAAAAACAAAAAUUAGUAUUUUAUAGGCUUAAAAGCAAUAAAGGAGACGUAUUCAACGUCUAGAAUCAUGCUUGCCGGUAUCGCGCAAUGAGCUUGAGGUCGGCUAGCGGCCGAAGCUCACGAAAACAAGGGCAUCCUGCGUCUGUCCUAACUAGCUCUAUCCUUUUACCAAUUUGCCUUUAAGGUGAAUUUCUUAUUUUACUCCUUUUAUUACACUCUAAAUGGUUUCUUGGCAAUACUCUCCCCUUGAGCAUCAACCUUGUCCGCAAGGUUGAAUUAUAGAAAUUUUUUCUUCAAGAGUCUUUUCAAUUUCCUCCUUGACCAUUAUUAUUUUAUUUGCACAAUGAUAUUAUAGGAAAUAGCUAUCUCCACAUUUGUAACAGGCUGCUGAUCUUCUAGGUUAUGCUCCAUUUCCUAUGUUCCUGAGGGUCUAUCAUUAUAUCGAUCUUUUUCUGAUAAGAGAGCAUCAUUGCUGGGAAGAUAGGGAUUCAAAGACAACUCUAUUACUAAUUGUUCCUACAGUACGACAUGUUCGGAUACUUGAUUAAACGUUUGUGGCUUGAGGAGUCUUAUCGUGAGUUGUAACUGCGACUUGAGGCCAUUGGUAAAGGUAGAUAUGAAAAACCUUUAUGGAAGUGUUGGUUUAUUUGCAUUCAUUAGAUAAUGUAAAUAUUCAAAUUGUUCUACAUACUCAAGAACGGUACUUGUUUGGUGUAGUUUGGUAAACUUCUCUAUGAAGUCUUUCUGUGAGGGUCAUUCGAAUCGUCGGUAGAGCUCUUCCACAAAAUAUUCCCAAUCUAGGGUAUCAACUUUGGCUAGCUACCCAUAGUACCAUAUAUUGAUGAGUUCUCCUAAAUAUAGCGACGCAAUCUCCACCUUCUAUUCAUCAAGAGUAUUAGGAUUAUAAAAUAUUUUUCACAUUUUCGAAUCCACUUGUUGGGGUUUACCCCUUCAAAAAGAGGAAUUUCUACUUUCGGAAGUGCGAAAUUGUGGGUCAAACCUCAUUGUUGUGGGUGGUCCAAUACGGUCCAAAGGCUCCAUCGGACUAGUUCGGUUCAAACUGGUUCAGAUGGGUUCGAAUUGGUCUGUUUCUUCAAUUGGUUCGGUGCGAUUUUCUCAGUAGAAUCGGGUAUAAAAAACCUUAACUUGAUUCUACCCCCUUAUGUAGGCAUGCCGUUCGAGAGAGGCAGGACACCCCUGCUUUCGUAAGCUUGGUCGAGGCACGCUGAGCUUCCUUUGGCCUGGCCGACGGAAUUUCUGUGGAGCAGAUCCAAGAUCUAGGUGAGUUGUUGAUGCAUGACGGAAUUUGUUCAUUUCGUCCAUGAAUGCGGAGAGUUUCCGGUCAACCUCCUUCAUUGUGAUCGUUUUAGGGCUCUCUAGUUUGACGAUUGCGACCUUCCCUUUGGACUGAGUUUGUGUGGCAACACCAGCGUAGGAUUCGGCCGGUUCGGGCUCUGAUCCUACCUAAAACCUUAGACAUGAUUUUGAUAUGUGAAAAAGUAAGGAAGAAGAAGAUGAAGAAGAUAGAGAAGACGAAUAAGGUUGAAGAGAGGCAAAUAGAGGUAUUUUAUUGAUUCUUUAUUUCGAUGAUUACAGAACAACGAAGAUGGGUCUUUUAUAGGCUUAAAAGCAAUAAAGAAAAUGUCUUCAAUGGUUGGAAUCAUGCUUGCCGGAAUCGUGCGAUGAGCUUGAUGUCGGCUGCGGGAUGAAAUGAUGAUACUAGGGUGUCAACUGCAGGAUGAACUGAUGAGCUAGUUAGAGUUUGUCAACCCUAACCCUAAUUGGCGCUAUCCUUUUACCAAUUUGCCCUUAAGUGAAUUUCUUAGUUUACCUAUAUUUUUAUUACACCCUAAAUGGUUUCCUGGCAAGUGAAUAUCACUAAAUCCGCGUAAGACCAAGAGAUGGAUGGAAAACAACAUCUAAAACUAAAUAUGGUUUAUAUGAGUGGUUAGUCAUACCAUAUGAACUGUCUAAUGCCCCAAGUACCUUCAUGAAUCAAGUUUUCUAAGCUUUUAAUGAGAAAUUUCUUCCUGUCUAUUUUGAUAAUAUUCUUAUCUUUUUAAAAUGAAAGUAAAUCAAGGUAUUAAAGAAGAAAUAAAUCAGGAUGUUAAAGAGAAAGUAAAUCAGAAUAUUGAAAAGGAAAUAAAUCAAGGUAUUGAAGGGGAAGAAAAUCAGGAUAUAAUCAAUUACAUAUCUGUAAUUAAUUGUGAUUAAUUGUUUAUUUCAUUUUCUAUCCUAGAAAACCUGUAUAUAUAGGGGUAUAAUAUUUAACAAAAUACAUCAAUAAAAAAAAUCAUUUUUAACAUAUUAUCAAUACUUUAGGUUAAUAAGUUCUUAAACUCUUUCACAAACUCGAUUAAGCUUUCAUUGUCGAAAUAGAAAAGCUUGAAAGGGGUCAAUCUUAAUAGUUGGCCACCACUCUCUUGUCGCCAAACAUCACCAACCAACCUUUAUAGUCGGCCCUAGAACCAACCGUUGCUCCCUGCAGUCGCUAGUCUCCAACAGUCCACAAGCACGCACUGACAUGCGCAGCUCUCUUUGUUGCCUCCAUCGCGA